rnacentral:rRNA from 1 species
GAAACCUGCGAAAGCAGAAAGACCCGCGAACAUGUUGUUAAACUAAAAGCCCGGGCUCACAAGGCUCGGCACCAACAAAACCCCGGCGCGGAUUGCGCCAAGGACCAUGAACAUGAGCGCGCCCCGCCCCGCCGGGCCUCCGGCGGACGCGGCGGCGUCGUGUCGUUUCUACCAUAAAACAGAACGACUCUCGGCAACGGAUAUCUCGGCUCUCGCAUCGAUGAAGAACGUAGCGAAAUGCGAUACUUGGUGUGAAUUGCAGAAUCCCGUGAACCAUCGAGUCUUUGAACGCAAGUUGCGCCCGAAGCCCUNGUGGCCAGGGCACGUCUGUCUGGGCGUCACGCACCGCGUCGCCCCCNCCCCCCUCCGGGGGGUACGGGGCGGAGAUUGGCCCCCCGUGUGCCUCGUGGCGCGCGGCCGGCCCAAACAUAGACCCCGCGACCGCUGGACGGCGCGACGAUCGGUGGAGUAGACCCUACGCAUCCCGUCGCGCCCCGAGCGGCCCUCGGAGGCCAUGAUCGACCCUUGCGACCCCAGAUCAGGCGGGACUACCCGCUGAGUUUAAGCAUAUCAAUAAGCGGAGGAAAAGAAA